rnacentral:rRNA from 1 species
UACGGAGGGGACUAGCGUUGUUCGGAAUUACUGGGCGUAAAGCGCACGUAGGCGGAUUUGUAAGUCAGGGGUGAAAUCCCGGGGCUCAACCUCGGAACUGCCUUUGAUACUGCAAAUCUCGAGUCCGGAAGAGGUGAGUGGAACUCCUGGUGUAGCGGUGGAAUGCGCAGAUAUCAGGAAGAACACCAACGGCGAAGGCAGCUCGCUGGGACGGUACUGACGCUGAGACGCGAAAGCGUGGGGAGCGAACAGG